ACGCUCGACACCUACGGGGGGCAGCAGUGGGGAAUAUUGCACAAUGGGGGAAACCCGUGAUGCAGCAACGCCGCGUGAAGGAAGACGGUUUUCGGAUUGUAAACUUCUGUUCUUAGUGAAGAUAGUGACGGUAGCUAAGGAGCAAGCCACGGCUAACUACGUGCCACAGCCGCGGUAAUCUGAGCGGGCUGGCAAGGC
rnacentral:rRNA from 1 species